rnacentral:tRNA from 1 species
GUGUGGCCGAGCAUAGGCGACGGGCUGUAGACCCGGCGACAGAGGGCGAGCCUCUCGCUAUCA